GGCAGUUUUCUUCGCGGCGGAGCUCGACCGCCCACACACCGGGUGAUCGGCUACAUCGGCCGGCACAAGGAGCUAUUCGGGGUCGAGCCGAUCUGCGCUGUCCUGCGUCAAGCGAGCGUGUCGAUCGCCCCG
rfam:Kutzneria albida DSM 43870, complete genome.